AUCAACAUUGGAAAGUGAAGGAGACAGAGAGAAUGAAAGAGAAAAAUAGAGAGGACAAAGUGCAAAAAUGGGAGACGAGGUGCAAGUCCAUGUGUAGGGUGGUGUGGGGUGCAAGUCAUGUCUGUGUGGAGUGCAAGUUCUUGGUAGACAGAUUGAUUUUAUCAGAAACAAAAAUAAAGGGCGAUGGAAAAGAUGGAAUUGGGGUUGACGUGGUUGGAGAAGGGGGGCCAACGGUUAUGAUGGGUGAGGGAGUAAUGGUCAACAUUGGAAAGCGAAGGAGACAUCGAAUCCAUCACCGUCUCUUUCUCUCUCUGACUCAAGCUCAUUUCCUGGAUCAUAUAUGCUCUUUCAUUGCUUGCCAUUUCCAUCUGUAAUUGCACUCGACCACUGUGAACCACUAAUACGAAUCCUGUAGCACAGGAUUGUCAUUCAGGUUGCUUUUUUUUAUGGAUAUUAAUUAUUAGCUGCUUUACGUCACAUAUUAUAAUAUAUGUUUGUGCCCACUAUUAGUGCAGGACUAGUAGUACUUAAACUUGCAUGGAUAGGAUUUGGGAGUUUUAACUUCCCACAGUAAGUAUGCUAUUUGUAAAAUUUUCAAAAUUUUCAAGAUCUGGAGUCUGAAAUUCAUUUGUUUACUUUUCCUUUUCAACUCACUAUAUGAUAAAUUGUGGAAACUAAGAGAUUGCAUUGAUUGUUCACAAUAAAUGUGCAUGUGAUCCCAAAAGCAAUAUUAUUAAUGCAAUUUUUGGUGAACAUUCUCAUUAUUUAGGUUCGAUUAUUAAUAAGCAUGAUGAGGUUGGUUGGAGGUGCUAUGAUUUAUAGAAUCAAAAUAUGUUGGCUCAAGUGAAAGAGUACUUUUGGCAUAUUAUGUAAUCCAUGUGAAUUUGUUUAAUUAAUUAAGUAUAUAAACAUUGAUAGAGUAGAACGGUGAAAAAAGAUUUAUGUAGUCGAUCUCACUUGAAUGGGACACAAGCCUUAAUUUUAAUUUGGUUUGGUUUAGUGAUGGGGCAUAUUAAAUAAAUGAAUUCUAUCAAAACAAGAAAAAACCCAAAAGAAAAGAGGAAAAAAUUCAAAGAACAAAUCCCACUGCACAUGUUGUCACCACUUUUCAAAAUGAAGUUAGAAUCUGUUAUUGAAGGUCAGCUCCUCCUUCUUCCUAGGUAAUCUUUGAGCAUAUAUUUGGUACUUCACAUGAACAUGGUACUGGUAUCACAAUUUGUAAGUAUUAACAAAAAGCCCCAACAAACUAUGAAGUUUCUGCAGUUGGACUAUGUGUAGAAAUGCUUUUAUUUGUUUGCCAACAUCUUUAAAAUGUUUCUCAUGUUCAAACAUCAAACGCUGUUGAAAUGUCUGUUGACAAAGUGGUUGAUGAUGGAUCCUUGUAUUGUUGUUGUAGUGGUUUAACUUUUCACUGUCAAUGUCAUGACUAGUAGAAAAUUACAAGUUAAAUAAUUUACUCUAGCAAUAUCAGUUUGUUGCAGGAUUUCUUUUCCCUUUCCUAAGUGAGAAUCUCUUGUUGAUGGUUUCUUGACUUGUUUAUGGAUAUGACUUUGAUAUGUUUUCACAUACAAAUAUAUAUAUUGAAUGGUGUAAUAUUCCUUAUUUUUUGAACUAAAAUAUUAGUCGUAGAUAAUCUUUAAUGUCAACCGUGUGCAACUUCUAUAAUUUGGUACUGAAGUUCAUUACAUUUUGCUCUUUGAAGGGAUUGGAAAUAAGCAUAGAAUAACAGGUACACAAUACAUGUCCUGUUCUUGAAGUUUGUGUUUUCUGCUUUGUAUUUGUAUGUAUGCUUCUUGAACUCGUAUUCACUAGUUAAUUGUUUCAAAUAUAUGCCUCAAAUUUGCAUAAUAGUGCUUUUUGAUUAUAUUGAUUUACAAUGUGUUAGUUGCAUUUAGUUUUCUUGUAAAUUUGUAGAGCAUUUCUUCCAUUGUGCAACAUCAUCUAUUUCUAACUGAAUUAUAAUAAAUAUGGAUGCAUCUCAUAGUGUUUUUUCAUUUGAAUAGCAUCUCAUUUUUGAUUUGGUAACCCAAGCUACUUGAAUCUCAGUUUGCAUGGCUGGAUGCUGAUAUUUGCCAUUAAAGUUGUGCAAAUAUUGUAAAAAAUUGAACUCUUUCUUUUGAAGUACCGGAGUAGUCUAUAAACUAAUAUGCAAUUCAAUGGGAUUAUACAUAGUAGCUCACAAGGCUAACUAACAACAUAAUCUAUAUCUAGGUGAGUAUGAGAUGGAUAAAUUAACUUACCAACCAGCCUCUGAUAUCUCUCCCCGUCAAAUGAAUCUUUAGUUUCAUCCCCUAACAUGCAAUUCUGGUCCAACAUGGUAUCAAUAGCUUUAUACCCAAGCACACUUUGUCCUUAAGAAGGUCCAAAACAUAUGUUCUUAGUGAGAUAAACACACUCUUUGAGAUGUUGCAACGUCAAUACUCAAGAAGUAUUUCAAGUUACCAAAGUCUUUUAUCUCAAACUCCUUAGUAAGAUAGCUAUUCAACUUCUGCUUUUCUAUGGAUCAAAUAUCAUCAACAUACACAAUGAGUGCAGUAACCUUGUUUUCAUGUUAAAUAAAUUGGGUAUGGUCAUCUCUACUCUGUUUGUAGCCACAUCUAAUCAUGACCCAAGUAAACCUCUCAAAUCAUGCUCUAGCAGACUUUGUAGGUGAAAGAGUACUUUUGGCAUAUUACACUAGCAAUAUCAGACUUUGUAUGCUUCAAAUUUGCAUAACAGUGAUUUUUUAUUAUAUUGAUUUACAAUGUGUUGGUUGCAUUUAGUUUUCAUGUAAAUUUGUAGAGCAUUAUUUCCAUUGUGCAACAUCAUCUAUUUCUAACUGAAUUAUAAUAAAUAUGGAUGCAUCUCGUAGUGUUUUUUUCAUUUGAAUAGCAUCUCAUUUUUCAUUUGGUAACCCAAGCUACUUGAAUCUCAGUUUGCAUGGCUGGAUGCUGAUAUUUGCCAUUAAAGUUAUGCAAAUAUUAUAAAAAAUUGAACUCUUUCUUUUGAAGUACCGGAGUAGUCUAUAAACUAAUAUGCAAUUCAAUAGGAUUAUGCAUAGUGGCUCACAAGGCUAACUAACAACAUAAUCUAUAUCUAGGUGAGUAUGAGAUGGAUAAAUUAACUUACCAACCAACCUCUGCUAUCUCUCCCUGUCAAAUGAAUCUUUAGUUUCAUCCCCUAACAUGCAAUUCUGGUCCAACAUGGUAUCAAUAGCUUUAUACCCAAGCACACUUUGUCCUUAAGAAGGUCCAAAACAUAUGUUCUUAGUGAGAUAAACACUCCCUUUGAGAUGUUGCAACGUCAAUUAAGUUACCCAAGUCUUUUAUCUCAAACUCCUUAGUAAGAUAGCUAUUCAACUUUUGCAUUUUGAUAGAUCAAAUAUCAUCAGCAUACACAAGGAGUGCAGUAACCUUGUUUUCAUGUGACUGUUGAAUAAAUUGGGUAUGGUCAUCUUGACUCUAUUUGUAGCCACAUCUAAGCAUAGCCCAAGUAAACCUCUCAAAUCAUGCUCUAGCAGACUUUGUAAAUCCUAUAAUGCCUUUUUAAGCUUGCACACUCCCAUCAACUGAGAAAUCAUCAAAGCCAGGUGGAACAUCCGUAAAUACUUCUUCCUCGAAGUCUUCACAAAGUAAAGCAUUCGUCAUAUCCAAUUGUUAAAGAGGCUCAAUAUGUUAAUUCUCUAGAAUAGGCCACAUGAAGAGCUUUCGAAAUGGCAUUGCUGUGAAUUUCAGUUAAUUUGAGUGCUUAACUAACUUGCCAUGAGACAAAAUCGCAUGCUCAUAUCAGUGAGUUUUUUCAAGACUACGUCAUAUUAGAGAAAUUCUACCUUGCAGCAAACUUGCCUCCACAUCGUCUGGCUUAUUUAUUCUCUUUUCUACAAACUGUGCUUUAAGCCAUAUGAAAUGUUCAUGAGUACUGUCAUUGCUUCUAAUCUGGAUUUUCACAUGACUUUGUAGAUACAUCUCUCAUUGAUAACAUCUAAAAUAACUUCAUUGAUUCCCAAUUAGUUGUCGGGCAGAUAACUCAGGAGUUCGAUGCAAAGGAGGAAAAAAUGUGAUCAUACAGAGACAUCGAUCUUCCCCUCACCCGCCUCUUCAACAAUUUCCACAUCAAGCAUAUCCCACGAUCAGAGAACUCCCAAGAAGAUGAAAUGGCCCAGUUAGCCUCGGCAGACCAAUCAGACCUCAGUCACAGAGUUAGAAUCGGAUACCUAACGCACCCAACAAUUCCACAAGAUCAAUAAAAGGUCCACUUACUCCAGAACGAGCAUAUUCCAUGGGCACAAUGCAUUAUCUCAUUCUUAGAGCAGGGAGCAUUGCUAGAAAAUAAGGAGGCCAACAAGAUCAGAGCUCGGUUGUCUAAUUAUGUUAAAAGCUUGAUAAGUGAUGAGUGCUUGGCCGGUCGCAAUGAUCUUUGAUGCUAUUACUGGAAUAGAACAACCAACUUCACUGGAUAAUUAUACUUGAUUGACUAGCAUAAGCAAAUAAUAUGAAGUGCCAAACACUUAAAAGAAUUUGACUUUCUUCAUAGAAUGCUUGCAUGGCAGUGAAGUUGUAAUAUCUACUCAGACAGUUCUCACAUCCUAAUUAGCAUGUGAGUGAUUUUAUCUAUACAUUAUCCACUUAUUAUAUAAAUGAGUUCAAAUUUCCAGUUGCAGGAUGUUGAUGAAUGAAACAGUCAAUGGCAGAUCCUUGAACUUACCAAAAAAAAAAAAAAGAAGGCAAUGUGAGGUUAGUUGGCUUUUCUAACAUAAAUUCUUCAACUAAUUAAGGCGUAGUGAUGGCUAAAGGAAAUUGUUUGCUAGUGAAGAUCCAGUCAUCCUCUGAUCAGCUGCAAUUAUGUAGCUUGGGUAUUUUUUAUAUUAACAUUAACAGUUAGGGGUGAACCGCUGAUAUGUACCUUGGGUAUUUUUUAUAUUAACAUCAACAGUUAGGGGUGAAGAAUGGAACAUUUCAUUUUGCAUGACAACUUGGUAAUUUGAAAUAUACUUGUAUAAUCAUAUUACUGUACAAGGGAUGUUUAUCUUGGACUUAUGAAUAGGGAUUUUCUGGACCAAACAACUCUUUGGCUUAAUUGAUUUGUACCCAAAGUUGACAUCCUCUUACUUUUGUUUCACAUCCAAGUCUUUCCAACAAACCUGUAUUGUCCAACAAGAUGAGGGAUUUUAACUUUGUUAAUUAAAAAUUUCUUUUCUAUGGUAGAAAUGUGAUUCCCGAACAAUUAAGAGCUGCCAAGGUAGUGAAACGGCUCAUGAAUAAAUCAUCUUCUUAGAGGGAACAAGGUUUGACGAACCAAGACGUUGAUUAUGGAUGUUCUAAUGAAAUUCAGCUGUGACAUUGAAGUUUAUUUUAUGCCGUUGAUGUUGUCCUGUUUCGUUACAUUCUGUUUUGUUCCUAAAGUAACAAAAGUUGAAGUUUCCCUGAAGUAGUUACUCAAGAAUAAUGUGGAGCACUCCCCAGUUGCACAAGUGACCUCUACAUACUGGAGAGCUGUCCAUAAGCUACUCCAGAUCCAGAACACCAUUUCGGAGUCCCAGAAGCACCAGGUAAUUUUUCUACUCUUCAAUUUUCUUUUUCGGCUGCUCUGUCUCAAAUAUUCUUCCCUAGCUUUCACUACACCUUCUGCUGCGUAAACCCUAAAGACUGCAGUGAUGGAGCAGCAGUGUCAACCAAUUUCUUUGGUCGUUGCUCAACAUCAUCUUAAUUGGCCUAAGCAAAUGAUAGCAUUUUGCUUAACUUCAUCUGUCAAAAUAGCCAUCCAAUUUAUUCAAACCUGACUACUCUAACUUCCUCCAAUUUUUUUUUUCCCCUUGCAUUCUCACUAGCCUUUCCCUCCCUCUUUGUAGUGAGUUACCUGUCACAGACCAAGCUUUAUAGUGACUUGCUAUCUUCUUUGC